UUAAAAUAUAAUUAAUGUUAUAUAAUAUAACUAUCUUGUAAUUACGUUUUCAGGAAUAUUCAACUAAAGUGUGUGAAUGAAGAAUAUUGAAAUAUAAAAAUAUGUCCAAAAAAUGCAUACAUGUAUUCUUGUGAAAAUAAAAAUAAAAUAUAAAAUAUCCAUAUAUAACAUAUAUAUCAAAUUUCUACUCACCUUUUAAUCUUCUGAUGUUCAACAAUAUUCAUGAGCUUUGUGGAUUCAAUUAUCUUUGUUUCAUUUGAUUGAAAUAGAUACAGAAGGCCUGGGACCAAGACUAUCAAUGACAGCAAGUACGAGAUAAAAAUUAUAAAGGAAUUACAAAUUUUGGAGAACGUGGAAGAUGGGAUGUUCAGUGGCCAGCAACCGACUAUUUUCGAGAGAGGAUAUGCAAACCAAAGGAAAAGUUUUGCGAAGUUUAUAAUCGAUAGAAUGAAUGAUGACCAUUGUGAAGAGCAAAUAUGAAAAUAUUCAUGGGGGAGAAGUUUUCUAUAAUUAUGGGCCAAUUAUUGAAAUUCUACAUAAAAGGAGAAUUUUCAUAAUUUCUACAUUAGAAGAAAAAUAAUGUAUAAACGAUUUUAAAAUUCUCUAUACGAUUUCAUAUCAUAAUGAAUAUGUACUGUACUUGAGAACAUGUGUAAUAUUAUCUUCAAUCAAGUACUAUAUCAUGUAUUUCAUUUUGUAACAAAUAUUAUUUGAUACUAUUGACGGCAGUACAGAGCAUCAUAAGCAAUGUAAAAUGUGAUAAAGAAUAUCAUAUGAUAUCAAUGAUAUUGUUUUAAUAGAGUUAUUUCUAAAAUACGAAGAAAAAAUAUCUCUGUAUCCUUCAGUAU